GAUAGGUUAAGUUAAUAAGGGCGCAUGGUGGAUGCCUUGGCACUAGAAGGCGAUGAAGGACGUGACUAACUACGAUAUGCCUCGGUUAGCUGUAAGUAAGCUUACCCGGGGGUUUCCGAAUGGGGCAACCCGAUCUUAAUGAUCAUCAUCUUUUUGAAUUCAUAGAUUAGAUGAAGCAAACGCUGUGAACUGAAACAUCUCAGUAGCAGUAGGAAAGUAAAGAAAUUUCGAUUCCGUCAGUAGCGGCGAGCGAACGCGGAAGAGCCCAAACCUGGAUGCUUGCAUCCAGGGGUUGUAGGACUGAUGUUGAGUUACAAAGGUAUAAGAUAGCAGAAACAGUUGGGAAGCUGUUCCAAAGAGGGUGACAGGCCCGUAUGCGAAAUCUUGUACUCUCUAAUCAGGAUCCUGAGUACGGCCCAGCACGUGAAAUUGGGUCGGAAUCUGGGAGGACCAUCUCCCAAGGCUAAAUACUAACUAGUGACCGAUAGCGAACAAGUACCGUGAGGGAAAGGUGAAAAGAACCCCGGAAGGGGAGUGAAAUAGUUCUUGAAACCGUGUGCUUACAAGAAGUUCGAGGCCGUUAAUGGCUGAGAGCGUGCUUUUUGUAGAAUGAACCGGAGAGUUACGAUUGCGUGCAAGGUUAAGGUGCAAAGACUGGAGC
rnacentral:rRNA from 1 species